rfam:Otolemur garnettii contig183137, whole genome shotgun sequence.
CCUUCGAUAGCUCAGCUGGUAGAGCGGAGGACUGUAGACUGGACGCGUGGCUGCCGACAUCCUUAGGUCGCUGGUUCGAUUCCGGCUCGAAGGA